CCAGCACCCCGAGUGGUCGGGACGAUUAUUGGGCCUAAAGCAUCCGUAGCCGGUUUUACAAGUCCUCCGUUAAAUCCAACUGCUUAACAGAUGGGCCGCGGAGGAUACUAUAAGACUAGGAGGCAGGAGAGGCAAGCGGUACUCAUUGGGUAGGGGUAAAAUCCGUUGAUCCAUUGAAGACCACCAGUGGCGAAGGCGGCUUGCCAGAAUGCGCUCGACGGUGAGGGAUGAAAGCUGGGGGAGCAAACCGGAUUAGAUACCCGGGUAGUCCCAGCUGUAAACGAUGCAGACUCGGUGAUGGACUAGCUUUAUGCUAGUCCAGUGCCGCAGGGAAGCCGUUAAGUCUGCCGCCUGGGUAGUACGGUCGCAAGACUG
rnacentral:rRNA from 1 species